UACCGAUGUUGAGGACAUUUGAGCAGGAGCUCCUUGAAUCUUUCCCAUGUCUGAAAUAGAGACUCCAAUUCCAUUUGCACAAAGGAUGAAAUCUCAUUCGUAAGCUU